GCGGGUGUAGUUCAAUGGUAGAACUUCAGCUUCCCAAGCUGACGGCGAGGGUUCGAUUCCCUUCACCCGCUCCA
rnacentral:tRNA from 1 species